CAGGUAGCAGAUGACCUUGAGUUUCUGACCUCCUGCUCACACAGGCUAAAUGCUGGGAUUUCAGGUAAGUACCACCAUGUCCAGCAAAUGCAGUGCUGGGGAACCCAGGCCUUGAACAUCCUGGGCAAGCACUUUGCCAACCAAGUCACAUGUCCAACCUCCAGAAGUAACCCUUGAAGUUGUUUCUCUCAGACAUUCUGUCCCAGCAAUGCGAAGGCGACCAGUAAGGGUUGGCGAGACCGCUCAGCAGAUAAAGGCAUUGGCUGCCAAGCCUCAGAACCUGAGUUUGAUCCCUGGAUCUUACAUGGGAGAAGGAGAAAACUGACACCUGCAAGCUGUCCUCUGAACACACACACUCACACACACGCACGCACGCACUCAUGGUUGCCUGAAUGCAGACACAAAAUAAACAGGCAUCAUAAUUUUUUUAAGUGACCAGUACAACCUCCUCCUCCAGCAGAGUCCUAGAGAGUCAUAGUGGUCUCAAACUGCCCUCUCAUCCUUCCUCUGCCAUACUCCUCCACCAAACUCUGUCCCCCUAAGCCACCAGGAACAAUCCACUUUGCUUAACCAGACGGCAGUUUCUUAACUGACUCUCGUAGAAAUACUGGUAAGAAAGGAGAGCGGGCUGUGAGACUCUCUGAUUUCCGGUUUCUGUUGCUGUGAGCAAGCCCCAUGACCACAGUCACUUGGGGAGGAGAGGGUUUUCGUAUUACAGUGCUCAGGUAGCGGUUCAUCACUGAGGGAUGUCAGAGCAGGCACCUGGGGGCAGGAGCUGAUGCAGAGACCAUGGAGGGUGCUGCUUACUGGUUUGUUCCCCGUAACUUGCUCGGUCUGUUUUGAGAGCACCCAGAUCCACCAGCACAGGUGUGGCACCGCCCACAGUAAGCUGUGUCCUCCCACGUCAAUCAUCCACCAAGGAAAAGCCUCACAGGCUUUCCCCCCCGGCAAAUUUGGUGGGGACAUUUUCUCCAUUGGGGCUCCCUCUCUCAAAAUAACUCUGGCUUGUGCCAAAUUGCCAGCACAGUCUCCCAGAGGCCUGUGUGUCAAAGAUCAGACUCUCAGGGUUUACAGAUGGGUCCUCUGCAAAGGAUGAGCCAGUUAUCCUGCGUGACCAAGGUCUUAAAGGCCACUGGCACCUCUAGGACAACGUUUGGAUCUUCUCUCAUGAUGAAAAUGGGGUCCCUGUCAUUGACUCCCAGCCUGUUUGUGUUGAUGUAUGCUAGCAGGGAGAAGGAACUCUCUAGAAGUUUGGCAGCCUCUAUACAAGCACCUCCCCUUGAGUGUGGCUAGAACUCUGUGGUCUGCCAAGAGAGCAUGGCAAAAGUGGUGGGAUGCCACUGCUGGAGGUAGGUUAUAAAAAGAGAUUCUCUUCUCUCUCUCUCUCCCUCUCUCUCUCCCCACAAAACACGCACGCACGCACACACACACACACGCACACACACGCACACACACGCACGCACGCACACGCACACACAGGCACACACGCACGCACACACACACACGCACACACACGCACGCACGCACACGCACACACAGGCGCACACGCACACACACGCACACAUGCACGCACACACACGCGCGCGCACACACGCACACACACAUCCUCUCUUAAUCUUGUUCUUUUACUCUUUCUCAGGAUCUCACUACACAGCCCAGGUCAGCCUCAAACCCAUGGUAAACCUCCUGCCUCCACUUCCAGAGUACUGAGGUUUUAAUCCAGCACCACCCACACCUGGCUGUGUUUCUGUUUUCAUUGUAAUGUGUCUAUGGCUAUUUGAACUUUCAUUCAUUUUUUGUUUUAUUUAUUUGUUUUUAAGAUUUAUUUAUUUCAUUAUAUGUGUUGAGUGUUUUGCAUGCAUAUGCACUAGGUGCAUGCCUGGUGCCUGCAGAGGUAAGAAGAGGACAUCAAAUCCUUGGAACCGGAGUUACAGACGAUUGUGAGCUGCUGUGUGGGUGCAGGGAAUUGAACCUGGGUCCACUUCAAGGACAACAGGAGCUAUUAACUGCUGAGCCAUCUCUCCAGCCCUUGCUUAAUUUUAAAUUCACAAAUGAAAACUACAUGUGUAUUUAUAGUGUGCCCGUGCGGUUUGGGGACAUGUGUGCCCAUGGGGUGUGGGGACAUUUGUACUGUGGACAAUCUAAAUGGAGCUACCUACCAUGAUCUUUCAACUUUGCCUCAGAGCAAAGGCGACAUGAGGGCAAUAGAAACUGCAGUGUGGCAUUUGAGUUUUUCUCUUUUCCAGCCUAGGGACAUGUGGUCCCCUGCUCUUUCUCAGUGCUGUGCGGUGUAGGACGGCAGACACCCCAGGUUGCGGCAGGAGGUGACGAGAGCACAGAUAUCUCUGGGCACUGGGUUGCUGAGCCAGGAUGUUGGGUAGCUAGGUGUAUCAAACACAUCUAAUUAUUGUUAAACUCAGGGCUGGGAAGGCGUUCAUAAUGUGCUUGUCUUGCAGGUGUGAGGACCCAAGUUUGAUUACUAGCACCCACAUUAAAAAAAAUCAGGAGUGUUGGCCUGCUUGGAGCCCUAGUGGGGAAGUGGGGACAGGGGAUCUCUGGGGCUGACCAGCAGCUAGUCUCCGGAAUUGGAAAUGGUGAACUCCAGGAGCAGUGAGGAACACCGUCGCAAAAACCCUGGUGAGAAGAUGAGGAAGGACCCAGAGUGUGACCCCAGAUAGUCUGAAUCUUUGUGAACAUUUUUUUAUCAUGGCUGUGAUCUGAGCGGUCCCCCAAGACUUGUCCCUCAUGCGGCAGGGCUCCACCCUCACCGUUGGUCUCAUCCACAGACCAUCACUUGCCCAUCGGUCGGAAGUGAAGGACCCUGAGGCAGAAGCUCUAAGCAGCUGCUCACCUGGUUGCCUGGACCCCAGGGUCUCACUCUGAAGCCCAAGCUGGCCUGGAACUCUUGCCUUAGGCACGUCCCAUCACGAUGAGUCACUUGACAGAGAGGAAAACUGAGACUCUGACCUGCCUGAGCUCCCCCAACCCCAAUCCGUGGCGCUUGGAAGUGAACCCCAGCAAUUUGAAGCAGCUGCUGCAGGCUGGGAGGCUCCGGGCGUCGGUGAGGUUCCAGAAGCCAACAGGGAUGGAGGGGCAGUCAGUCCUGCGCUGCCCAGGGCAAGCCUGCUAGGUCCGUGGACACUUGAAGACAGCUUUCCAAAGGCUGCGUCCCACCCCCAGUCCGUCAGUGCCCAGAAUCCCUGCCUCUUCCUUAAGCCAAGCAGCACCAGGCGCUUCAUUAGCGCCUCUGAGCCCCGGCCGCCCUGGGGGAUGAAAGCAGCGGAGAGGGGCGCUGUCCUAAUUCCGGCACACCUGGCAGGGGGUCCGGCGCUGAAAGGGACGCGGC